rnacentral:tRNA from 1 species
AGAGCGGUAGUUCAGUUAGUUAGCCUAUUUACCUUGAAAGCAGCGGCCUGUCACGCUGCCGAAGGCAUUCGCGGGUUCGAGUCCCGUCCGCUCCG